rnacentral:tRNA from 2 species
GGAGAGGUGGCCGAGUGGCUGAAGGCACUCGCCUGCUAAGCGAGUAUCGGGCUCACGCUCGAUCGAGGGUUCGAAUCCCUCCCUCUCCG